GGGAGGCAGCAGUGGGGAAUAUUGGACAAUGGGCGAAAGCCUGAUCCAGCCAUGCCGCGUGUGUGAAGAAGGUCUUCGGAUUGUAAAGCACUUUAAGUUGGGAGGAAGAGCAGUUACUUAAUACGUGAUUGUUUUGACGUUACCGACAGAAUAAGCACCGGCUAACUCUGUGCCAGCAGCCGC
rnacentral:rRNA from 1 species